GAUAGGCUAUCGACGUUUCUGUGAUUGGACACUGACAUAGAGUCAACUAGCCUUGUGCGCGCGGUUCUUCGCGCGAAGAACCGGGGCGUUCCGAGCCACGAGGGGGGAGGCUCGGAACGCCCGAC
rnacentral:ncRNA from 1 species